rnacentral:rRNA from 1 species
GAUCCUGGCUCAGAACGAACGCUGGCGGCAUGCCUAAUACAUGCAAGUCGAACGGAGAUAGCAAUAUCUAGUGGCGGACGGGUGCGUAACACGUGAGCAACCUGCCUUAUACAUCGGAAUAACAGCUGGAAACGGCUGCUAAUACCGGGAUAAGACCACACCAAGGCAUCUUGGAGAGGUCAAAGCGAAUUAGCGGUAUAAGAUGGGCUCGCGUCCAAUUAGCUAGUUGGUGGGGUAACGGCCCACCAAGGCAACGAUUGGUAGCCGACUUGAGAGAGUGAUCGGCCACACUGGAACUGAGACACGGUCCAGACUCCUACGGGAGGCAGCAGUAGGGAAUAUUGGGCAAUGGAGGAAACUUCCUUACCCGGCAAUGCCGCGUGAAUGAUGAAGGUCUUAUGGAUUGUAAAGUUCUUUAAUUGGGGACGAAAGAAAUGACGGUACCCAAAGAAUAAGCCCCGGCUAACUAUGUGCCAGCAGCAGC